AAGUCGUAACAAGGUUUCCGUAGGUGAACCUGCGGAAGGAUCAUUAAAGAACGCCCCGUUUUUUACAAAUGGGUUCAAUACCCCCUGACCGUGUAUACCUUACCUUUGCUUUGCUUUGGCGGGUGCCGGCCUUGACGGCGUUGGCUCCUGGCUAACUGCGCCGACCAGACGGCACCGAAACCAUCGUUUGUUUUAUGUGAUGUCUGAGUACUAUAAAAUAUUUAAAA
rnacentral:misc_RNA from 1 species